rnacentral:lncRNA from 1 species
UGCUUCUACAUCCAUUUUAUACACAGUGCCACAUAAUAUACAGAAACUUUUAUAUACAUAUAUCUUUAUAGAAUAUGCUAUAUUAAUCUGUCUCUUUCUUUACAGCAAUAUUAGUUUCGAUCUUUCAUACAUAGGUACAAAAAGUCACAUGAGAAUGGCACGUGAGGAGUGCUUUAGUUUCCUUGUAGUCUUCAUGCUGGGGCAGCAGAAGGGCUUUGCCAGAGGCAUUGGUAUCCACUGACAGAGAGAGAAGUGGGAGGUGAGUUACUGUGUGCCAGUGCUGCUCCUGUUGCAUGAGGCCACCCAAUUGGGUUCUACCCAACGCAGCCAGCACUAAAAAGCCCAAAAAGAUGAGAAAAUGAAUAGUUUCCACCAGUUCCUCUGGUCUUGCUGUCUCUGCUUGUUCACAGCUAUAAGGGAGGACAGGCCAGACCAGUGGCUGUCCCAGCAGGACACUGGAGCAGAGCAUGGAGCCAAAGGAAAGGGUUGUACAGGGCAGAGUGCUCCUCUCCUGCUGCCCCAUGCACACAGGCAGGGAGCCCAUCACAAUAAUCCCUGUGCUGACACGAGUAACUAAGUUUAUUCAUUACAGUAGGAGUUUGAGACUAUUCCCUGGCCAUCACCUCUUCAGUCUGCUGCAGUACACAUGAAGGGAAAGCUGGGAAGCUGUAACCUCAGUAGCCACUUUGCCACCAGACAGGGACCAUCAGCAAGUGCUGUGAUAAAGGAGUUAAGACCCAAAAAGGUGUGUGGCACUAGGAAACACUUCAUGGUGUGAUCACCUUGCACAAGCAGCAUCCCCAAAGCAGUGCAUCAAGAGGACAGACUGUAGAGGUGCCACCAAGCCAGGCUGAGUGAUGGAUGCGCUGCUUUGGGUUGUUCCUAGCACUGCCAUGUGCAUCAGGUAUCUCCAUCUCUGAGCCAUCAGGACUGCACAAAGCCCGGGAUGGAAAGCAGGGCAGUGGAAUCCCAAUAAAACCCAAGGCUUGUUCCUGUGCUCUCUGUGUUCAAUGAGUUUUGUAGAAGUAAGUAGCCAGAUAGAGGUUCUCCCUCAUUAUAUAGCUUGUCCGGGCAGGUAGAGAACUUCAGUAUAUGAAAAGCAGAUCACAGGAUGAUGUGGUGAGGUCCAAGGUGUCCAACACAACAAAGAAAGCAGCAAAAUGCCCAAAUCUCUAAGAAGAGAGCUCACCUUUGAGAGAUGGAUGUUCCAGAGCCAGUGAGAAAUGUCACUAAAUAACUGCAGUGGACAAUUCAGAACAUGGGAAGUCCCCUUCUGGUAAAACCAGAGUCAGAACUUGAAGAGUAGAAAGAAUUUUACUCAUGAAGAGACCUAAGAAGAAGUUUUAUUCAUGAACAGACCUGUUAAACACUGACUGAGGUCACAUACAGCAAAGGUAAGAAGUGGUAGGAAGCCUUCCCUUCCUUCCACAUGGAUAACACUCACUUCGUACAAGGUUCUAGAUUGGAGGGACUGGCCCAAUGGUGGUGUGGGCUUGAGGACAGAGCCUGCCUCAGGUCAGGCUUUGCUGUUGGCACUUGGAUAUGACCUAAGGCAGGAAUCUGAGGCAGAAAGGGAGAACCUGGCAGCAAAGGCAACUCUGAACCAGUCCUUGGCCACGCUGCAUUCCCUUUCACAGACUCAGAGAAGAAAUGACAUGCAGAAGAAAGGAAGCUGGCUGAUGUCCUGUCCCAAGCCAAAGGAAAGCAAAGGCACAACAGGUAUGAACUCAAGAGAACAAGCGAAAAAGAAACCAACAGGAACAGACAGCAAAGUGCUUGGAGACAGAUGAUGCUUUAUAGGACUGCAAGUCCCUAUGGCAAAGGGAGGAAUUGCUCUCUCCUGGAUUGUUAUGAAUUUCCAUGUGUGUGCCCUUAAGCAGACGAAGUUUAGGCUACCAACAUCCUCCCAUGCCAAGGGUAACAGCUCUCAGGGAGGUGCUGGAUGCAGAUACAGUUGGGAGAUGGGAAAGACAGAAGCACAGCAGAAGUGUAGCUGUUUGCAGAAGUCCUGCCACACAUGGAACACGCUGCCCUCCACACAGCAGGGACCUCCUUCCUCAAGUACUUCUCCACUCUAACAACACCGAGUUCACAAACUAAUAGGGCUUAGGUUUCAGGCUCUGUCCACCAGAGGUCUUACACCCAUCCCUCUUAGCAGUGAAGGCCCUGGCUCUCAGAGCUGGAAUAUAAACCCUGAAGCACACAAACCCCAGGCUUGUCCCUGCCACAUCUCAC